GAAGGUGUAGCUCAGUGAUAAGAGUGCAUGCUUAGCAUAUACAAAGUCCUGGGUUCAAUCCCCAGUACCUCCA
rnacentral:tRNA from 1 species